rnacentral:lncRNA from 1 species
GUCUGCCAAGCGCUGCUAGUUCCCCACAGCCCUGGGUGAGCCCAGGGAAGACUGGGCUGCAGUGCCCCCAUUUGGAGGUGAAAUGGGAGUGGAAUGUAGUUGGGAUGGCCAGAGAGUAGGAGACAUCCUAAGUGUGAGAUGUGGACAGGGCUGAAUGCUCCAGGGUCUCGUACCCCAGAGUGUGAGAUGCGGGCAGGGCUGAACGCUCUGGGGUCUCGUACCCCUGAGUGUGAGAUUCGGGCAGAGCUGAACAGGCUCCAGGGUCUCAUACCCCCAUAGCCUCCACCUGGGAUGCCCUCUCCAAGUCUGAUUUCUCCUCGAAGCCCCUGCCCUGUCCUCCAGAGUCUGAGCCCUUGCUUCCACCCCAG